GAUGAACGCUGGCGGCGUGCCUAACACAUGCCAGUCGAGCGAAGCACUUACUUUAGAUUUCUUCGGAAUGACGAAGUUUGUGACUGAGCGGCGGACGGGUGAGUAACGCGUGGGCAACCUGCCCUGUACAGGGGGAUAACAGUUAGAAAUGACUGCUAAUACCGCAUAAGCCCACAGCUUCGCAUGAAGCAGUGGGAAAAACUCCGGUGGUACAGGAUGGGCCCGCGUCUGAUUAGCUAGUUGGUAAGGUAACGGCUUACCAAGGCGACGAUCAGUAGCCGACCUGAGAGGGUGACCGGCCACAUUGGGACUGAGACACGGCCCAAACUCCUACGGGAGGCAGCAGUGGGGAAUAUUGCACAAUGGGGGAAACCCUGAUGCAGCGACGCCGCGUGAGCGAUGAAGUAUUUCGGUAUGUAAAGCUCUAUCGGCAGGGAAGAAAGUGACGGUACCUGACUAAGAAGCCCCGGCUAACUACGUG
rnacentral:rRNA from 1 species